rfam:TPA: Bos taurus chromosome X, whole genome shotgun sequence.
UCCCUGGUGGUCCAGUGGCCAAGACACCACAUUCCCAAUGUAGUGGGCCCAGGUUCGAUCCCUGGUUGGGGAA